UGGGGAAUAUUGCACAAUGGGCGCAAGCCUGAUGCAGCCAUGCCGCGUGUAUGAAGAAGGCCUUCGGGUUGUAAAGUACUUUCAGCGGGGAGGAAGGGAGUAAAGUUAAUACCUUUGCUCAUUGACGUUACCCGCAGAAGAAGCACCGGCUAACUCCGUGCCAGCAGCCGCGGUAAUACGGAGGGUGCAAGCGUUAAUCGGAAUUACUGGGCGUAAAGCGCACGCAGGCGGUUUGUUAAGUCAGAUGUGAAAUCCCCGGGCUCAACCUAGGAACUGCAUCUGAUACUGGCAAGCUUGAGUCUCGUAGAGGGGGGUAGAAUUCCAGGUGUAGCGGUGAAAUGCGUAGAGAUCUGGAGGAAUACCGGUGGCGAAGGCGGCCCCCUGGACGAAGACUGACGCUUAGGUGCGAAAGCGUGGGGAGCAAACAGG
rnacentral:rRNA from 1 species